rnacentral:lncRNA from 1 species
GUAUGGGAUUACACAACAAACCUCAACUUUGCUAAUAACAGUUAUUAUAUACUUAGGAAUAAACUGCUUUAAUUUCCUAGAUAUUGGGUGUUUCCCACAUAUUCAACAAUUACUAAAAUUUCUUGCUUUGUAUGAGGGUUUUCUGUGCUUCUAUAGACUUCACCUUCUUGGCUUCCAAAUUCUUUUCUCACACCCUAAAACAUGUACUCAGUUCGUGUAUCAGUAUUUUUUGCCUGUGGAAGACUGUCUGAAUGCAAAUUCUGUUAAAUUUACCUGUAUUAAAUAGUUUAUCAUCGCAGCAGUAGCUUCUGUUUUAUUCAUAUUGUGAAAAAGGUCCUUGGCAAUCUGAUGCUCGGAUAAAGCUCUGUUGAUUGCUGCUUCUGCAAACAUUUGUCCUUUUAUAUUAUGUUUUGUUUUCAGUGCAGGGGGAAUAGAGAAUAGAUCCUAAUUUAUAAACUCUGCUCACUUGUUUCUUUUUCCAGCCUUCUCUUCUCCAUGGCAGAUUCUCCAGGCCUUCUGUGGACCUUGGCUGGGCUUGCUCCAGGUGAUCUUUCUGUCUCUGGUAGCAUGGAGCCUACUGCUGGACACAGUACUCCAAAUGCAGCCUCACCCAUGCAGAGUAGCACGGAAAGAUGACCUCCUUCGAAUUGCUGGUGGGGCUUUUCCUAAUGCCGUCCAGGAUGCCUUUCUUGCUGCAAGGGAGCAUUGCUAGUUCAUGAUCAACUUAGUGUCAGUCAAAGGAAGCACAAAGGGAAAAUGACAAAUAGUAGCAUCUAUCAAGAAGCCAGGGCAGAGAUGGAAAACAAGCUGAUCUGCAGGACUGGCAGAUCAUGAAGAGGUAUUGCUUGCCGUUUGUUUGCCAUUCUUUUGGAAAUCAUGACUACAGCUUUCAGGCUAGGGAGUGGUUUGCUGCCCGAGUUCACUCAGGAAGCCAGUGCAAGAACAGCAGCUUUUCUCCUGGGUCUUACGUUGGCACUUGGCCAGCUGAACCCAGCUUCCUACACUCUGAGCUCAAGCAGGACAUAGAGACACGUUCAUUUGGCCAAGGGAUGGUGUCUCCUUGAAGAUAAGACCAUUGGCUCUCUAUUUAAAAAAAAAUAAUAAACAACAAACUUUUUCAAAUGCA